ensembl:snoRNA small nucleolar RNA, H/ACA box 3A
CCUGAGACUAGAGUCUCAUCUUGACAAGAUCCAUUGUCUUGGUGUGCUAGAGAUCUCAGAGAGUGAACACUGUCCUUAUUCACUGGCCGGCCUUCCUGUAGACUCGUCAGUCACACGUUCAGUGACAUCU